rnacentral:misc_RNA from 1 species
GAGGACCCUGAACACGGCAACCGGAAGAGAGAGAGAGAGGGGCUCUACUCCAAACAGGCAUACGGUGUUCCCCCCUCCCCUUUUCUGUGUUUUGGCUGUGGUAAUGGUUACUAUAACAUCCCAGCAAUUAUUGAGGGGAAAAGAGAAAGAAGAAGUGAGAAAUUUGAAGUAAAGAAUGUCAAAUUUGGGCAACUUGGUUACGAAGUAUUGACUAUUGACCCUGUAGUCUUUACAUCUUCUUCGAGUGGAACACUCUAUUUUUGUA